AUGGUCUCAAUCUCAGAUUAUGCUCCUUUCGAUGACUGCAAUUUUAAAACUCCUCAAAAUCCGCUGUCAAUCACUAACGCUUUCGUCCCUCCGUCUUCUAACAAUGCCACUUUAUUCCUGUCGUCCACGUCGAUACCUACUAAUGUUCUACCAUCAAAUUUCAACAGUAACAGUAAGAGUUUCCCCUUCUUAACUCCAGUUGUUUCGACUCAUUCACUCUCUGUCAGUACGAAUAACAUGCCCUAUUAUACCUCCUCAACUGCUUCGAAUAGUACAUCUAUUUCCACUAUAAACACUAACUUCACUGUAGCGUCAAACACCAUCACAGUUAGCGAAGUUUCAGUAUGCAGCAGUGCUACUGCUUCAAAUUAUCUUCCUCCUUUUAUCGGGUCGAGCACUACAAUAUCUAGUCCCACUGUAAGCUUUUCCCACUAUCUCUCACCAGUAAUUACAACUUCUAAAAACACGAAGCGGACUUCAAGUUGCUCAGUAUCUAAAUCGGUUACUAGUUCUGGCGCUGCAACAUAUCUACCACCAAUAAUUUCAACAGCUUCCAUCUCUAGUAACACAAAUAAAAUUUCCUCCUAUCUUCCUCCAGUCAUUUCCACAAGUUCCUUAGCCUCAACUCGAAAUAAUACAGUAGCAAACUAUUUACCUAAUAUUAUUCCAUCAUCAAGCUCUGCCGAUAAAAACCGCUUGUCAAACUAUUUGUCUCCUGUUAUUCCGACCACCAACACCCUUAGUAACAACAAUUUAACAAAUUAUUUGCCCUCUGUUUUACCUGCUGUUAAUGAUGCUUCGCUUUACUUACCGCUCACCAGUAUCAGCACAACCGGGUCAAGUGUUUCGACUCAAGAUAUCAAUUCAUCCUCAUCGUCCUAUGUAUUAUCCACACCCACUAACACGAAAUUAAACGCUCCCUCAACCCAAGAUAAAUUUGCACAUAAUAAUACACCAUCAUAUCAACCCUACAUUUCGAAUGUACCAACAAGUAAUAGUGGUGUAUUGAAUGGACCAACCACAAACCAUUUACCUGUUUUUUCAAACAAGACAAGUGAUCCUGCGGUUAGCUCAAGCUAUUUACCGGUGUUUUCGAACACAGCUGGGGUCACUUCAUCUUCCACUUACCUACCAAUAUUUUCAAACAGUCCAUCAGAUCUGCCGAUGAUGUCAUCAAGUUAUCUUUCCUUGCCAACCAGUAAUCAGGGUCCUAAUUCGGUUUCAACGCUAAACUCAGCAUACACCUCAAACUAUUUGCCUUCUUCAAACUUUUCCUCCAGCAAUUAUUUCACUGUCAACUUGAACGCAGCUGUGCCUCACGAUUCACAAAUAUCAAACUCAACCGCAAAUUUCAUCUCUUACUCUGCUCCAUCCACUGUAGCUAAUACACCAUGCAGCUCUACAGACGUUCAGUGUUCAUCCAAUUUCUCAAUAUCUUCACCUGCCGCCUCUCGAUCCUCAAAUAAAUCCUCCAAAACCUCCCCAGGCUCCUGCAAAACUUUUGUGUCCGCUAAAAAGGCACCCAACAGCGCUGAAGUCCUCAAUUCAGAGGCUAAAAAAGUGCAUUCUACAAACCAAAAGCUCAAUCAAGAGGAUUCUAGUUUGAGAACAAGCAAUAAGGAGAAUUCUUCCACUAAAGCUGUACUGAAAUCGUGUAACCCAUGUGUAGUAAGCAAAGGUACGAGUUUUCCAAACAGCAGCUGCAUCUCUAAUAAUCUGAAUAAUCAAAGCACCUUAUCCUCCAAUCAAAUUGAAUCACCAGCAAUAUUUGAAACUUAUAAACCUGCUUUAAUCCAUCAAAUCGGAGGAAAUUAUGCAGCAGAACAUUCCAGUGCAAUGAAUGUCAAAGGUGUCGCAACCUCUAUUUCCUCCAAAACUAGUUUGGCUCCUCCAAUGCUCCCGCUGAACUCCGGGAGCACCCCGUCAAAUAAUUUUAGUUGUAUUUACUCAACGUCAGAUAGCAUCUCCUAUCAGCCUAUAAAUCUACCGAAUACCUUCCAAAACCGGCCAGAGUUUGUAGAUCAAGUCAACAUUGGUCCGUCAUCGAGUUUCAACAAUGAUACUGCCAUCAACUCAAUUAAAAUGACGCCUACAAGUCAAAAAUAUGUGCCAUCAAAUGAGCAGUUAAUUUACAAUGCGACAGCCAACUCUGGAUCUUCAACUUUAACGAACUUCAACUUAAGUGCUAUUCUUCCGGAGAUGAAUGACAAGCUAAGGUGCCAUACCUCAUCAAAUAGUUCUUGCAUCACAAGGGGACUUUCAGAGCAGUCAUCCUUUGGAAAAUAUGACUUUUAUCAAUAUCCAGAAAAGAAGGCCCAUCCUCUAACAGACAAAAAAGUACAUCAAAUGCAGCAUGCAAGUCAAACUGUGCCUCCUAAUCAAUUCAAUUUGAGUAGUAAGUCUAGCUCCUCCUCAUUUCAAAAUAAUUUGGAUACAUCAUGA
rnacentral:lncRNA from 1 species